GUAAUCUCAUAGCAAUAGUAUAUAUAAUGUGUUGCAGCUAUUCCUAAAGAAUUGGACCAAUGGAUACAUUCAGGCAGCAAGUUAAUCCAUCAUGUAAGGAAAAUGAAUUGAUUUCAUCCACAAGAACAUGAAGUGAUGGAAAUGAUUUGCAGCUGCUCAGUAUUCCUUGUACAGUUUACCAUAAUUUGAAAAGCUGUUUAUGAAAUAAAAUUUCUUCAUAAAAAUUGA